AGUGAACGCUGGCGGUAGGCCUAACACAUGCAAGUCGAACGGCAGCACAGUAAGAGCUUGCUCUUACGGGUGGCGAGUGGCGGACGGGUGAGGAAUACAUCGGAAUCUACUUUUUCGUGGGGGAUAACGUAGGGAAACUUACGCUAAUACCGCAUACGACCUACGGGUGAAAGCAGGGGAUCUUCGGACCUUGCGCGAUUGAAUGAGCCGAUGUCGGAUUAGCUAGUUGGCGGGGUAAAGGCCCACCAAGGCGACGAUCCGUAGCUGGUCUGAGAGGAUGGGCAGCCGCACUGGAACGGAGACAGGCCCCAGACUCAGGGGGGGGCGAGCAGGGGGGAUAAGGGAGGAAGGGGCGAAGGCGUGAGCCAGAUAGACGGGGGGGGGAAGGAGGGCCGCCGGGUUGUAGAGCCUUUUUGUGGGGAAAGAAAAGGAGGUGGUAACUCCCCCGCUGUUAGGGGGGUACCCAAAGAAAAAGCCCCGGCUAACUUCGGGC
rnacentral:rRNA from 1 species